rnacentral:rRNA from 1 species
AUACGAAAGGUGCAAGCGUUGUUCGGAUUUACUGGGCGUAAAGAGAGUGUAGGUUGUUUAUUAAGUCGGAUGUGAAAUCCCGGGGCUCAACCCCGGAACUGCAUUCGAUACUGAUAGGCUAGAGUUCGGGAGGGGUAAGCGGAAUUCCGUGUGUAACGGUGAAAUGCGUAGAUAUACGGAGGAACACCUGAGGCGAAGGCGGCUUACUGGACCGAUACUGACACUGAGACUCGAAAGCGUGGGUAGCAAACAGGAUUAGAAACCCGAGUAGUCC